UUGGAGGGCAAGUCUGGUGCCAGCAGCCGCGGUAAUUCCAGCUCCAAUAGCGUAUAUUAAAGUUGUUGCAGUUAAAAAGCUCGUAGUUGAAUUUCGGGGUUCUACCGUUGGUCGGGCUUUGUCUGUACUGGUGUGUAGAAUUUCUACCUUCUGGGGAACCAUCAUGCUAUUAAUUUAGCGUGGUGGGAAACCAGGACCUUUACCUUGGAAAAAUUAGUGUGUUCAAAGCAGGCUUAUGUCUGAAUACAUUAGCGUGGAAUAAUAGAAUAGGACGGUGGUCCUGUUUUGUUGGUUUCUGAAUCACCGUAAUGAUUAAUAGGGAUAGUUGGGGGCAUUAGUAUUCAAUUGUCAGAGGUGAAAUUCUUGGAUUUAUUGAAGACUAACUUCUGCGAAAGCAUUUGCCAAGGAUGUUUUCAUUAAUCAAGAACGAAAGUUAGGGGAUCGAAGACGAUCAGAUACCGUCGUAGUCUUAACCAUAAACUAUGCCGACUAGGGAUCGGACGAUGUUAAUUUUUCGUGACUCGUUCGGCGCCUUACGGGAAAC
rnacentral:rRNA from 1 species